rnacentral:miRNA from 1 species
UUUGUCGGAUGAACAGGGAAU